rnacentral:rRNA from 1 species
UACAGAGGGAGCAAGCGUUGUUCGGAAUUACUGGGCGUAAAGGGCGCGUAGGCGGUUCGAUAAGUCCCGUGUGAAAUCCCUCGGCUCAACUGAGGAAUGGCACGGGAAACUGACGGGCUUGAGUUCGGGGAGAGGGAAGCGGAAUUCCGGGUGUAGCGGUGAAAUGCGUAGAUAUCCGGAGGAACACCGGUGGCGAAGGCGGCUUCCUGGACCGA